rnacentral:rRNA from 1 species
UACGGAGGGUGCGAGCGUUACUCGGAAUUACUGGGCGUAAAGGGCGCGUAGGCGGCCGCGCAAGUCUGGUGUGAAAGCCCAGGGCUUAACCCUGGAAGGGCACUGGAAACUGUGCGGCUUGAGUGCCGGAGAGGAGGGGGGAAUUCCCGGUGUAGCGGUGAAAUGCGUAGAUAUCGGGAGGAAUACCGGUGGCGAAGGCGCCCCUCUGGACGGUAACUGACGCUGAGGCACGAAAGCGUGGGGAGCAAACAGG